rnacentral:rRNA from 1 species
CCUCGUCUUUAGUUGCCAUCAUUCAGUUGGGCACUCUAAAAAAACCGCCGGUGAUAAGCCGGAGGAAGGUGGGGAUGACGUCAAUUCCUCAUGGCCCUUACACGCUGGGCUACACACGUGCUACAAUGGCGGUGACAGUGAGCAGCUAAAUCGCGAGAUCAUGCUAAUCUCAAAAAGCCGUCUCAGUUCGGAUUGUUCUCUGCAACUCGAGAGCAUGAAGGCGGAAUCGCUAGUAAUCGCGGAUCAGCAUGCCGCGGUGAAUACGUUCCCAGGCCUUGUACACACCGCCCGUCACACCAUGGGAGUUGGAUUCACCCGAAGGCGCUGCGCUAACCCGCAAGGGAGGCAGGCGACCACGGUGGGUUCAGCGACUGGGGUGAAGUCGUAACAAGGUAGCCGUAGGGGAACCUGCGGCUGGAUCACCUC